AUUGUAAAAAAGCAUUACUCUCAUUCUGAAAAUUAGCAUUUGGAUUUCAUUCCUCCUCACGUGAUUGAUGAGAGUGAGGAGAGUAACAGUCAUUAGGGUUAAGCAUGUUUUCUGUCACUUUAGUGCAGGUAUUCCUCAAAUCUGAGUAAUAAGUCAGUCUAGCCCUGGUUGUCUACUCUCAUUUGACCCAAUUGGAGUGUGAGGUAACUCAGAAGCAAUAGUGGCUUCAGAAUAUUCAUAUAACUUAAAUACAAGUAGAUAGAAUUUAAUUCACACAGUUGGGCAAGGAAAGUGUUUCUGCACUGGUUGUAGGAAAGACAUGAGGUGCAAGAUUAUAUAGGUAUAUCCUGCACCUUGAAUGGCCUGACUUGCUGUACCCUUGGUUUUACUCAUUAUCACACAAUAUUUUGAUAAGGCUGCAGCUUCUCACUGAGAGCUGAUGCUCUGCUAUGUUUCUUCAGGCCCCCCGAAUCAAUUAGAAGAGACUGUCUUAGACCAUCUUGGCCCUGUCUUGUCCUCUACCUGGUUCCCAGUUUGAAGGACUGAAGACCACACAAGAGUUUAGUACACAUAUAGCCCUUAUACUGUACAUCACAAUGCCAGAGCACCUGGAAUCACUGGGAAGUGUUGAAUCACAUUCUAACUAAGCUUGUUCAUCAUCGGUGCUACCCUACUACCCUCUUUUAAGUUAUAGAAACAGUGAUCUCUGCUGUCUUAACUUCAUCAUAGCCUAAAUGUCUUAUUAUUAAUAUUAACCAGCCCUUUCAUGGGGCACAUUCCCUUGAAUAGUAUUUUUAUACAUGAUUUGUGCAAUAUUAUUUUUUCCCACACAAACUCUAUGCCGAAAUUCAAGCUCAAAAUAUUUUAUCCUUUUACUGUGCACAACUUUAAUUUCCCCAUCUGUAAAGAGACAAACUUUGUGCUAAAAAGAAAUGCAGUGAUUUUUGGGAACAUACUUCAUACCUUUCUAGUAAUGUGAAUCCUCCUUAAUGUCAUCCAACGUACUUCAAAAGUUGUCAUCCAGAAAAUUUCUCUCAAAGUCUUCAUCAUUAUAGAUUUUCAGAUGAAGCAAUUGUUGGAACAAAAGGGAACCUGUUCCAGAUCAGCAGCACAUUACAAAAACUGUAGGACUGGAACCCUGUGGUAAACCUCCAUAUGAUCCAGUCUUUUUUCAGUUCAUAUGGUAAAGCUACAAGUGAAGAACAGGAAGAUUUGUCAUUCUGAUCUAGGAGAUCUACACGACUUUUAAGAAGACCUAACUGUGUUGUUAACUGGGAAUGUGAUCUUGAGCCUAAAAUCCCAUGGAGGAGUCAGAAGAUUUCCAAAAUAAUGGUGGUGCUUCUUUUGAAAUGAUGGAUGACACCACUGAAAUGGACUGGGAAGGAGUAGACAAAUAAAUUCUCUUUCAUAUUUACUUAACCUAGAGUUUUACUGAUCAGAUUUUGUUCCAUAUCUUCUGGCAAAGAUAUAGCAACUUCCUCUUUCUACAGCACUCUGAUCUCAUCCUGGCAGCUGAGAUGAAAGCUACAGAGUUCUGGGACUCUGGUUUGGAUGACACAAAUACUAAUAAAUCGAACACAGACUACUCCUGUUUCAAGGACAUUUUUCCACAGAGAUGAGAUACCACCUUCAGCCUCAGGGAGCUAAUCUCCUCACCCUCCAUCCAGAGUCUGGGAAAGACCAAGUUAGGGCCCUAGAAGAGACUGUUUUUUGGACAUCCUGACUUGGUGUCUGUAGAAUUCUACUUCUUUCUGUUGCCUCUGGAAGGUGUUUUCUCUGGAAGUAAAACUCAGAGAACACCUGUCUACAUAACCAGGCUGGUGUAGAAACAGUCAGUUUGUGGAAAGGUAGGAUAUAAGAAGUUCUCCAGGAGGAAGGUGUCAUCCCAUGACCGGGUAUACCACAGCAUGGGCACUCCCCAGAGUUUUCUACUCCUGUACCAUGUAGUCAUAGUAGCACAGAAUGGCCUUUAUUGUCUCAGACAGUAAGGCAGUAGGAGGGGUUCCUAUUCGUCUCAAGGUGUGUGACUGCAGCUUUUAAGUGUUGAGCUCACCAGAAGUUUGAAGCAGAAUACUAUGAGUUUGUGACCUGUCAAUAAGAAAAAUAUUUGCAAAAGCUGCUGAAUAACCUGAGAUUUUUGUAUUGCAUUAUAGCUCUUCCUACAUUCCAAGAGUAGGUAGGUUCCUGAAAUUUCUGGAACUCAGAAUAUUCAACAUGGAAUUCAUGUUAGUCAGUUCUGGACGUCCACGAUGAAGAUGACUGUAAACUACUCAUCCAGACUUCUUUUAUGGUCAUUAAAAGCUGAGUAAGUAUUUCUGGGACACAAUUCAUCUAGUACAGCAGAAUUGAGUUAUCCUCCAGAAGUGUCCAAUUCUUCCCAGUAAACAUGAAUUUAGAAAUUGACUUCAGGAUCUGUUAUUAGGUGACAUAACUUCCACUCAUAAAUUAUCAUG